rnacentral:rRNA from 1 species
CCUACGGGAGGCUGCAGUGAGGAAUAUUGGUCAAUGGGCGCGAGCCUGAACCAGCCAAGUCGCGUGAGGGAGGACGGCCCUACGGGUUGUAAACCUCUUUUGCCGGGGAGCAACGGGCGUCACGUGUGGCGCCACUGAGAGUACCCGGAGAAAAAGCAUCGGCUAACUCCGUGCCAGCAGCCGCGGUAAUACGGAGGAUGCGAGCGUUAUCCGGAUUUAUUGGGUUUAAAGGGUGCGUAGGCGGAUCGUUAAGUCAGUGGUCAAAUUGGGGGGCCCAACCCCUUCCCGCCAUUGAAACUGGCGUUCUUGAGUGGAAGAGAAGUAUGCGGAAGGGGUGGUGUAGCGGUGAAAUGCAUAGAUAUCACGCAGAACCCCGAUUGCGAAGGCAGCAUGCCGGCUUCCGACUGACGCUGAAGCACGAAAGCGUGGGGAUCGAACAGGAUUAGAUACCCGUGUAGU